AGUCCGUUACUCCGAGCCCGAGCCUGGCGGGCAGCGAGCGCAUGCGCGUCCCGCUCCCGCGCGGUCGGCGGAGCCCCGGGGGCUGGAGCCUGGAGCCACGUAGGCAAGAUUAUAAUAAAAUAAUAACCAAAUGAGUCACUGGUUAGUUUCUGGCAAAGAGUUAGCCUGGGAACUAGAAGGAAUGACAUUCCAGAAGCCAGAGGAAAAUUUGUAAGGCAACAUCAGGACAAGGACUAUAUGCCAUAAGCAUUAAACAAGUGUGGUGACAAAAAGGAGCUGUCAGGAUUCAUCCCCUAAAGUGGAUGGAGGGUUGCCCAUUGGAAGAGGGAAUGUUUACGGUGAGACGGCGCAUCAUCAUCAUGACAUGAAACAGAGCAGUGGAUCCCAACUACCAUAGUGCAUAUAAGACCGAGUAUGUGACAUUCUACCAGUCGUUGAAGAUCAACUGUUGGUACCUGAACACUUUGGUUCUGACUGUGAUUAAAAACAAAACUCACCAUGAUGAAGACAUUGAGAAAACACUAAGGUGGGGCAUGUGGGUGGCUCAGUCGGUUGAGCAUCUGCCUUCGGCUCAAGUCAUGAUCUCAGGGUCCUGGGAUUCAGCCCCACAUCCAGCUCCCUGCUCAGCAAAGUCUGCUUCUCCCUCUGCCUCU